AAGUGGAUUAGUGGCGCACGGGUGAGUAACGCAUAGGUAAUAUGCCUCAUAGUCUAGGAUAGCCACUGGAAACGGUGAUUAAUACUGGAUAUUCCCUACGGGGGAAAGUUUUUCGCUAUGAGAUUAGCCUAUGUCCUAUCAGCUUGUUGGUGAGGUAAUGGCUUACCAAGGCUAUGACGGGUAUCCGGCCUGAGAGGGUGAACGGACACACUGGAACUGAGACACGGUCCAGACUCCUACGGGAGGCAGCAGUAGGGAAUAUUGCUCAAUGGGGGAAACCCUGAAGCAGCAACGCCGCGUGGAGGAUGAAGGUUUUAGGAUUGUAAACUCCUUUUGUUAGAGAAGAUA
rnacentral:rRNA from 1 species